rnacentral:lncRNA from 1 species
AGACCUGCAGCUGGACAUUCUUGCUUGCUGGGCUCAGCAUCGCUAUGGGCGUGAGCAACUUCUUCUCUUCCAACUGGGAGUUCUGGCUGUGUCCGACUGGAACCAACUCCUUGGCUCUUGUGAACUGAUGAUACACAGAGCUUGAAAAAUCUAAAACACCUUGUGAGUAGACACGCCAAUGUUAUGUUGAAACCUUGCCUCUCAUUCAAGGGAAAGCAAACCUGAGUGUGUGAUGUUAGAAAAGAAAGUGAAGAGAUUGAAAGAAAACUGCUGAAUGUCAAACUCACAAGGACCUACUGAAAUUCAGGACAAAAUCCAAAUUCAGUGCACGGAGACAGACAGCAGCCUACGGAGCCAAAUGGGAAUUUCACUGCUGUGAGGAGUCCCUGACAUGCUGGUUCUUGCGCUGCCUUGUUGGCAAGACUGUGAAGAAAAUACAUGACCAAUGCAAGAAAAAACAGGUUAUGACAUGCAUUAGGCUUGAAGUGACAUACUUUGCUUUGCAGGAAAUGGAGCAAAGCAAACAGAAAAGAGUGGCAGGGUGUUAA